rnacentral:rRNA from 2 species
CCCUACUGAUCAUAGUCUUGGUAAGCCAUUACCUUACCAACUAACUAAUCAGUAGGGGACCUGAGAGGGUGACCCCCCACACUGGUACUGAGACACGGACCAGACUUCUACGGAAGGCAGCAGUGAGGAAUAUUGGUCAAUGGAGGAAACUCUGAACCAGUCACGCCGCGUGCAGGAGGAAGGCCAUAUUGGUUGUAAACUGCUUUUACACAGGAAUAAAAUUUUCUAUGUAUAGAAAUUUGAAGGUACUGUGAGAAUAAGUAUCGGCUAAUUCUGUGCCAGCAGCCGCGGUAAUACAGAUGAUACAAGCGUUAUCCGGAUUUAUUGGGUUUAAAGGGUACGUAGGCGGUUUAUUAAGUCAGUAGUGAAAUUUUGCAGCUUAACUGUUAUAAAGUGUUAUUGAUACUAAUAAACUAGAGUUAUAAUGGAGUAAUUGGAAUGUGUGGUGGAGCGGUGAAAUGCAUAGAUAUCACACAGAACACCAAUCGCGAAGGCAGGUUACUAAUUAUAUACUGACGCUGAGGUACGAAAGCGUGGGGAGCAAACAGGAUUAGAUAUCCUGGUAGUCCACGCCGUAAACGAUGAUCACUAGUUAUUGGAUAAUAUAUUUUUCAGUGGCUAAGCGAAAGUGAUAAGUGAUCCACCUGGGGAGUACGAUCGCAAGAUUGAAACUCAAAGGAAUUGACGGGGGCCCGCACAAGCGGUGGAGCAUGUGGUUUAAUUCGAUGAUACGCGAGGAACCUUACCAAGAUUUAAAUGUACUACGAAUAAAUUGGAAACAGUUUAGUUCUUCGGACGGAGUACAAGGUGCUGCAUGGUUGUCGUCAGCUCGUGCCGUGAGGUGUUAGGUUAAGUCCUUUAACGAGCGCAACCCUUGUUAUUAAUUGCUAACAGAUAAUGCUGAGAUAUUUAAUAAGACUGCCAACGUAAGUUGGAGGAAGGUGAGGAUGACGUCAAAUCAUCAUGGCUUUUACAUUUUGGGCUACACACGUGCUACAAUGGUUGAUACAAUAAGUUGCAAUUAGGUGACUAUGAGCUAAUCUUUAAAAUCAAUCUAAGUACGGAUUGAAGUCUGUAACUCGACUUUAUGAAGUUGGAAUCGCUAGUAAUCGCGUAUCAGCAAUGACGCGGUGAAUACGUUCUCGGGUCUUGUACACACCGCCCGUCAAGUCAUGGAAAUUAGAAUUAUUUGAAAUUAAUAUAAAAGCAAAAAAAUAUUAAUUAAAAUAAAUUUAAUAACUAGGGCUAAGUCGUAACAAGGUAGCCGUAUCGGAAGAUGUGGCUGGAAAUAUUCUGUU